ensembl:lncRNA
GUCGUAGCGCACUCGGCGCUUGCCUGGAAGUUUAGGGGUUUAAAAAGAAGUUUUCUUCCCACACAGUGAACAGUGGACACUAAUGUUUUUGUCACUUUUUAUGGAAUCAAACUCAAAGUAAGGCACUCUUCCCAGCUUUUCUAGGGGAAUACCAGAGUGUUCCCAAGCUAGCCAGGAGUUCAAGGCAUUAAUCCCGCCCCAAAACGUCCCAGAUCUUAAUCAGAACAAGAACCCACAGGAUGUGGCACAAGACCAAGGCCUCACCCUGCAACACAAAGGAUCUACAUCCAGGCUACCAACCAAAGGACACCUCAGAUGCUUUGUGUCUUGAUCAGUGCUUACAAAAUAGUAAUACUGGAUUUUUUUCAUGUUUUGGCAGUGUACAACCCUGCAUAUCUACUGUCUAAAUUGCCUAGAUACCUAGAUUGUCUUCCAAAUAACUGUAAGAAAAUUUGAUGUUAUUUAAUAUGUACCUUCUUAUUUGUAGUAUAAUGAGAUAGAAGAUCAGGUUAGUCUUCCUUAAACAGCAAUGAAAAACGGAAUGAUUAGCACACAUUAAAGACUAAAAAUGUGAAAUUGAAACAAUGUUU